AUGUGCCAUAGCUGUUAUGUCUGCCCGCUGCUUCUGUCACCUCUGCCCAAGGUGGUCAUCCUGCAAGGGACCAGCCAGACUCCAAUGGCUCCUCCUCUGGCAGAGCCCAGGAGGCAGGAGCUUCUCAUUCACCUACUUGUAGUACAAGUGAGCAUAUCUUCAACAUGUCUUUUUCUCUCUUUAAUUGCAGCAAGUGCCACAGCCCCAACGGUCUUCCCAUUGCCUCCCUGUAGCCAAGACUCCUCUACUGCCUCCCGGGUCUCCAUAGGUUGUCUGGUCUCUGGCUACUUUCCUGAACCGGUCACAGUACAGUGGAAUUCGGGAGCCAUCUCCAGCGGCAUCCGGACCUUCCCUGCACUAUUGGAUUCAUCCAGUGGCCACUACACCCUCACCAGCCAGCUCACCAUCCCAACCAGCACCUGGGAAUCAGAGAAGUUCAAAUGCAAUGUCACACAUGCAGCUACCGGCUUCACAGCCAACAAAGGCAUUGAGCACUCUCCUGCAAAACCACCGGUGGCCCCAGAAAUCCGCCUUCUCCAUUCCUCCUGCGAUCCCAGACAUGCCACCAUUGAGCUGCUGUGCAUUAUCUCCAGCUUCUACCCCAGUAGGGUGACGGUAGAGUGGCUAGUGGGUGGGCAACCUGGUAUGCUAUCCUCGGUCACAGCACCACCCAGGAAGGAUGCCCGUGGAUACACCUUCAGUACCACAAGCACGGUCAACGUUAGCAAAGAAGACUGGCAGGCUGGGAAUACCUACCACUGCCAGGUGUUCCACGAAGCAACCCAAACCAAAGUGAAAAGCAAAGCCAAGAUAUGCGAAGAUGAUACUGUUUGCACCUCCGCUGGCAUUAGCGUGCGAAUCAUGCCCCCAACCCCAAAAGACUUGUAUGUAAACAGAGACCCCACGCUCACCUGUGUGGUGGAGAAUCUAGAAAAUGCAGAUGGGCUGAAAGUCACCUGGUCACGGGCAGAUUCAGGACCCGUGAGCCCAGGUGCAUUGGAAGUGAAAGAAGACCUUAAUGGAAAGUACACUGCUACCAGCUCCCUCCCUGUCACAUCGUGGCUGCAGGGUGAGGAAUUCACCUGCAUGGUGGAAUAUCCAAGCUUGGCUGCUCCCAUCAAUAGGACCAUUGUGAAGAUGACAGGCAAGAUAAAGGCUCCCAAAGUGUUCCUCUUCUCCCCACACAACGAGGAAAUCCGUGCUCGGCCAGCAAUGCUAACGCUCACCUGCCUGGUCACAGGGUUCACCCCAAAAGAAGUUUCUAUCCAGUGGCUGAAGAAUCACAACGCCGUGCCUGAAGAUCACCAUGUCAACACGCCGGUCAUGAAGGACAACAAGAACGACUCCCACUUCAUCUACAGCAAGCUGACAAUUCCAUUCUCUGACUGGAACAAUGGAACCCCUUUCACUUGCAUGGUUUACCACGAAGCCCUCCCUAUGAAGUUCACCCAGAGGACCGUGGAGAAAUCCCAGGAAACAAAGCAAAGAAUAGUGACUGUGUCAACAAUGGAUUAUUACAGCAAUGAGAAAGAGGAGGAACUGGACCGCCUGUGGCGAACCAUUUUCAUUUUCUUUGUUCUCUUCCUCCUCAGUGUUUGUUAUAGUGCCACCAUUACACUGUUCAAAGUAAAAUGGCUCUUUUCCACUGUGAUGCUCCUGAAGAAGCAGCCGUUGGGCCCUGACUAUAAGAACGUGAACCAAUGA